rnacentral:rRNA from 1 species
GACGAACGCUGGCGGCGUGCUUAACACAUGCAAGUCGAACGGUAAGGCCCUUCGGGUACGACGAGUGGCGAACGGGUGAGUAACACGUGGGUGAUCUGCCCUGCACUUCGGGAUAAGCUUGGGAAACUGGGUCUAAUACCGGAUAGGACCACGGUCUGCAUGGAUUGUGGUGGAAAGCUUUUGCGGUGUGGGAUGGGCCCGCGGCCUAUCAGCUUGUUGGUGGGGUGAUGGCCUACCAAGGCGACGACGGGUAGCCGGCCUGAGAGGGUGUCCGGCCACACUGGGACUGAGAUACGGCCCAGACUCCUACGGGAGGCAGCAGUGGGGAAUAUUGCACAAUGGGCGCAAGCCUGAUGCAGCGACGCCGCGUGGGGGAUGACGGCCUCGGUUGUAACCGUCUUCUAGCAGGACGAAGGGUGACUGACGGUAC